rnacentral:misc_RNA from 1 species
ACGCAUGACUACGAAGUCAAGAUGCGGAACGUGAUGAAGUUCCUCGAGAAUGGCGACAAGGUGAAGGUCACCCUGCGGUUCCGUGGCCGCGAAAUGGCGCACCAGAACCUUGGCCGGGAACUGCUGGAACGCGUGGCGGAUGACGUCAAGGAACUGGGCAAGGUCGAAAACAUGCCCAAGAUGGAAGGCCGCCAGAUGGUCAUGAUGAUCGGACCCGUGCUCAAGUAAGAUCAUUGGCCCUGCCGACAUCGACCCGGACCCGCCGCCUUUGUCGGCGGGUUUUUCUUGUCUGCGGUGACGUGCGCG